rnacentral:rRNA from 1 species
ACCAGACUCCUACGGGAGGCAGCAGUGGGGAAUAUUGCACAAUGGGGGAAACCCUGAUGCAGCGACGCCGCGUGGGUGACGAAGUAUUUCGGUAUGUAAAGCCCUAUCAGCAGGGAAGAAGAUGACAGUACCUGACUAAGAAGCCCCGGCUAACUACGUGCCAGCAGCCGCGGUAAUACGUAGGGGGCAAGCGUUAUCCGGAUUUACUGGGUGUAAAGGGAGCGUAGACGGCAGUGCAAGUCCGGAGUGAAAGCCCGGGGCGCAACCCUGGGACUGCUCUGGAAACUGUAAAGCUGGAGUGCGGGAGGGGCGGGCGGAAUUCCUGGUGUAGCGGUGAAAUGCGUAGAUAUCAGGAGGAACACCGGCGGCGAGGGCGGCCUGCUGGACCGUAACUGACGUUGAGGCUCGAAAGCGUGGGGAGCAAACAGGAUUAGAUACCCGUGUAAC